GGCCUCGUAGCUCAGUUGACAGAUCAUUGGACUAGUAUACCAAAGGUCGUAGGUUCGAAUCCCACCGUGGCCG
rnacentral:tRNA from 1 species